UGGCUGGGUUUACUUCAAAGAAAGCCCCCACGAUGCCGUGGAGUUCUUAGGCCAUGAAGGCCAGUCAGCCUGGGGCUGACACUGAGUCCCCGAGCUGUGAUUUCAAGUAGGAGGAGCAGGCAACCCCCACUGGGAGCGUCAGAAAUUGCCAGACCGUGCGGACACGUGAUCUGUGGACGGGGCGACAAAGAGGGUGGACGAAGGGGAGUGUAUUCGUCCCACCUACUUUUGCAGUGGAUUUACCAGGUGCGGAAAGUGGUGCCAGCCCUGGGAGCAGAGACUGGCUACAAAGUUUCUUCCGAGCC
rnacentral:lncRNA from 1 species